UACGGGGGGGGGCAAGCGUUGUUCGGAAUUACUGGGCGUAAAGGGCUCGUAGGUGGCCAACUAAGUCAGACGUGAAAUCCCUCAGCUUAACUGGGGAACUGCGUCUGAUACUGGAUGGCUUGAGAUUGGGAGAGGGACGCGGAAUUCCAGGUGUAGCGGUGAAAUGCGCAGAUAUCAGUGGAACACCGGUGGCGAAGGCGGCUCUCUGGGACGGUACUGACGCUGAGACGCGAAAGCGUGGGGAGCGAACAGG
rnacentral:rRNA from 1 species